AGCCUCGUGACCUUUUACCCCAACAUGGCUGCGCCCGUGGGACCGGUGAAGUUCUGGCGACCCGGUACAGAGGGGCCAGGUGUAAGCAUCUCUGAAGAGAGACAAAGUCUGGCUGAAAACUCUGGGACAACGGUUGUUUACAACCCUUAUGCUGCCCUUUCCAUAGAGCAGCAGAGGCAGAAGCUGCCGGUAUUCAAGCUUAGGAAUCAUAUUUUAUACUUGAUAGAAAAUUAUCAGACAGUGGUGAUUGUUGGUGAAACAGGAUGUGGGAAGAGCACACAGAUUCCUCAGUACCUUGCAGAAGCCGGCUGGACAGCUGAAGGAAGAGUGGUAGGAGUGACCCAGCCUCGAAGAGUGGCUGCUGUUACACAUGAUCUUUCUUCCCAAAGGUUGCAGGGAGAGUAGCUGAAGAAAGGGGUGCAGUGCUGGGCCACGAGGUGGGCUACUGCAUCCGCUUUGAUGACUGCACCGACCAGCUGGCCACGAGAAUUAAGUUUCUUACUGAUGGAAUGCUGGUCAGGGAAAUGAUGGUUGAUCCGUUGUUAACAAAAUAUAGUGUCAUCAUGCUGGAUGAAGCCCACGAGAGGACCUUGUACACUGACAUUGCCAUUGGCUUGCUAAAAAAGAUUCAGAAAAAGCGAGGGGAUCUUCGAUUGAUUGUAGCUUCAGCCACUCUGGAUGCAGACAAAUUCCGGGAUUUCUUUAAUCAAAAUGAAACCAGUGAUCCAGCAAGGGAUACAUGUGUGAUCCUUACAGUGGAAGGGAGAACAUUUCCGGUGGAUAUCUUUUAUCUACAAAGUCCUGUUCCAGAUUAUAUCAAAUCAACUGUCGAAACUGUGGUGAAAAUUCACCAGACAGAGGGAGACGGAGACGUUUUAGCAUUUCUUACUGGCCAGGAAGAGGUAGAAACUGUUGUGUCGAUGCUCAUCGAGCAGGCUCGAGCACUAGCUCGCACUGGGAUGAAGAGACACCUCCGAGUUCUCCCCAUGUAUGCAGGACUGCCUUCCUUUGAGCAAAUGAAAGUGUUUGAAAGGGUGUCACGCAGUGUCAGAAAGGUGAUAGUGGCCACCAAUGUGGCAGAAACCUCUAUCACAAUCAGCGGCAUUGUGUAUGUGAUCGACUGUGGCUUUGUGAAACUCCGAGCCUACAAUCCCAGGACAGCUAUUGAAUGCUUGGUGGUGGUGCCAGUCUCCCAGGCAUCAGCUAAUCAGCGAGCAGGACGUGGUGGUCGUAGUCGCUCGGGAAAAUGUUAUCGCCUUUAUACAGAGGAAGCCUUUGACAAGUUGCCUCAGUCUACGGUUCCUGAGAUGCAGCGUAGUAAUUUGGCACCUGUCAUCCUGCAGCUGAAAGCACUAGGAAUUGACAAUGUCCUCAGGUUCCACUUCAUGUCGCCCCCUCCAGCACAGUCGAUGGUUCAAGCCUUGGAGUUACUGUAUGCUCUGGGAGGUCUGGACAAAGACUGUCGCCUAACUGAACCGCUUGGCAUGAGAAUUGCAGAGUUUCCUUUGAAUCCCAUGUUUGCCAAAAUGCUGCUUGAAUCAGGAAACUUCGGCUGUUCUCAGGAAAUUCUAAGCAUCGCUGCCAUGAUGCAGAUCCAGAAUAUCUUUGUGGUCCCCCCAAACCAGAAGUCUCACGCAAUUCGAGUGCACCGUAAAUUUGCUGUGGAGGAGGGCGACCACCUCACUAUGCUCAAUAUAUAUGAAGCAUUUAUCAAACACAAUAAGGACUCUAAAUGGUGUCAGGAACAUUUCCUGAAUUACAAGGGUCUUGUCAGAGCUGCGACUGUAAGAGAACAAUUGAAAAAGCUUCUUGUCAAGUUUCAAGUGCCCAGGAAGUCUAGUGAAGGUGACCCGGAUCUGGUUCUGAGGUGCAUUGUCUCCGGCUUCUUCGCCAAUGCAGCGAGGUUUCAUUCUACUGGAGCUUAUAGGACCAUCCGUGAUGACCAUGAGCUGCACAUACACCCUGCGUCAGUCCUCUAUGCAGAGAAGCCGCCUCGCUGGGUCAUCUAUAACGAAGUUAUACAGACCUCCAAGUACUACAUGAGAGAUGUGACUGCCAUUGAAUCGGCCUGGCUGUUGGAGCUGGCUCCACACUUUUAUCAACAAGGAACGCACCUGUCUCUGAAAGCCAAAAGGGCCAAGGUCCAGGACCCGUGAGAGGAGCCCACAGCUACAGCUGCAGGGACUGCUGGCGUCCUCUCCUCCAUGCUGCUGCCCCUGGUCCCAGGUGGGGUGAGCUGGCACCAGCUCCUGUGGAAUGUUUGGUUGCUCUGAAGUGGGCUGCGGCCUGUUCAUUAGUCCUUUCUUCCCGCUGCCCACAGCAUUUGCAUCCUUGCUGGGAUCCUGGAGGACUUUGUGCAUGGGCAGGCAUCCUUCUGUGCUGCAGCGGGCAGAGUGGGAGUUGGCUCACUCAGCACGCUCACUAACCCAGCAUGCCACUUCCAGCAGGCAUGCAGUCCUGGCCCAGCUCUAUGGGAAACAAGGAGGAAAGUUAGCCACUGAAGGCCAAAACACCAUGUGGGGUGGACAGAGGGUUUGCUGGGCUGGCUUUGCUUUCCCUGCUGGGGCCACAGCUGUGUUAACCAAUGAGGUCUGCUGCCAGGUGUGAACAAGCAUGUCUCUACGAAUGAACGAAACAUUGGGGAUCUCUGCCGAAACCACCAAAGGGCAUGUCUGAUGGGCACAGGGUCUCCCAAACCCAGUGGCUUCUGUCUGUCCUCAGCCCUUGUCCCUGUUUAUCUGCAGCCAGGAGACUUGCAAGGGAUUGGUGAUUGACAGAGAGGACUCGUGCGCUGUUUUGUGUUAGCAGAGGAUUUGUGUUUCACAGGUAGGCUUAGCGUCCUCUCAGAGUGUAGUGCCAGGUCCUGGUGCCACGCUAGCUGAGCACUCAGGAGAGUUCAUCAGCUCAGAUCCCACAGGGCCUCCUCUUUAGCAGGAAUUCACAACAGUUUGGAUGCCCUAAACUUCUGUAGCUCAGGAACAUCACUGGUGUAUUUGUUUUUUUGUUUGUUUGCUUGGGUUCUUGCAAGAGCGCGUGGGGACAGUUCUUCCAGCAGGCACUGGUUUUGUUGCCCCAGGGCUGCUUUGCUGUGAUGAUGAUUGCAUUUCAACACAUGCCAGAUGCAGAUUUUUUCCCCCUUACUGUUUCAAUGACCUUUAUUUUAAAAACACAUAGCUUGAAAAUUUAUUUUUAUACUGAUAUUAGUUUGGAUGUGCCACUUUUGGCACCAAACGUGUAUGUCAUUUUUAUUUCCAUUUUAUAAACAUGUAAAUAAUAGUGAUAACUUGUUAAUAAUAGUAAACCUUUAUACCUAAAGUAAAUGUCUUCCCUCCCA